UACGGGGGGGGCAAGCGUUGUUCGGAAUUACUGGGCGUAAAGGGCUCGUAGGUGGCCAACUAAGUCGGACGUGAAAUCCCUCGGCUUAACCGGGGAACUGCGUCCGAUACUGGUUGGCUUGAGUUUGGGAGAGGGAUGCGGAAUUCCAGGUGUAGCGGUGAAAUGCGUAGAUAUCUGGAGGAAUACCGGUGGCGAAGGCGGCAUCCUGGACCAUAACUGACGCUGAGGCGCGAAAGCUAGGGGAGCAAACGGG
rnacentral:rRNA from 1 species